AUCCAGCUGAUGAGUCCUGAAUAGGACGAAACGCGCAUCCUAGAU
rnacentral:hammerhead_ribozyme from 1 species